rnacentral:misc_RNA from 1 species
GCUCUUAAUGUUGAUUAUCUUAACGAAAAGUUUGGUGUAUCAAAAUCAGUGAUCAUAAAAGAAGGUUCAAUUGGCUCCCUUUCAGUUAAAAUGCCUUGGAAGGGUAAAGGUUUUCAGGUUGAGUUGGAUGAGGUUGAGCUUGUGCUUGCGCUUGCCCCUUGUCCACAGAAUAAAUCACCUGCAGGAGAUGGGAAUAGCGGUUUCAAUCAAGAUAGUAAUCUUCGUGUACAAAGUGAGGGAGGAAGUCAUAGGCAUGAUAUGAUGGAUAGUUCAACUGAUGUUCAUGAAGGUGUCAAGAAAAUUGCAAAGAUGGUGAAAUGGUUUCUGACAAGCUUCCAU